GCCAGCCGCGUCCUCCCGGGCUCGGUGAGGAACUGUUCCUGGAGGAGCCGCGGGACGCCGAAACCAGCCAAUGGGAAGCGGCGAGACGCGGAGAUUGGCACUGUAGAUGGGAAGUGGGUUCCUGGCUCAUCUGUUGAUGCAGUGCCAGAAGUGAGCUGCAGAACAGGAGUUACUGGAGAUGACAGUGACAAUGAGUCCUGAAGGAGGAAUAUUGAUCUCAGCGUUACUUUGACCAUUAAUGAAUUAUGAUGGCAAUAAGCAGAGACGCACACCUCCAGCCUCCUGGGAGCUUAAUCUUCUGCUACAGCGUUUGCAUUUCAACCUACAAAGAAAGCUCCAAAGAAAGACGAGCCUGUGAACUGACUGAAUCCUCUUUGUACUCCUCG